UACGUAGGGUGCAAGCGUUGUCCGGAGUUACUGGGCGUAAAGAGUGCGUAGGCGGUUUUCUAAGUUUGGUGUGAAAUCUCCCGCUUAACUGGGAGGGUGCGCCGAAAACUGGAAGGCUUGAGUAUGGGAGAGGUAAGCGGAAUUCCUGGUGUAGCGGUGAAAUGCGUAGAUAUCAGGAGGAACACCUGCGGUGUAGACGGCUUACUGGACCAUAACUGACGCUGAGGCGCGAAAGCGUGGGUAGCAAACAGG
rnacentral:rRNA from 1 species